rnacentral:tRNA from 1 species
GCCGGGGUGGCCGAGCGGCCCAAGGCGCGGGACUCGAGAUCCCGUCCCCGCACAGGGGGCGUGGGUUCAAAUCCCACCCCCGGCGCCA